rnacentral:rRNA from 1 species
UGGGGAAUCUUGCGCAAUGGGCGGAAGCCUGACGCAGCAACGCCGCGUGCGGGAAGAAGGCCUUAGGGUCGUAAACCGCUUUCAGGGGGGACGAAGCUUCCGGGGUUAAUAGCCUACGGGUGACGGUACUCCCAAAAGAAGGUCCGGCUAACUACGUGCCAGCAGCCGCGGUAAUACGUAGGGACCGAGCGUUGUCCGGAUUUAUUGGGCGUAAAGAACUCGUAGGUGGUUUGUUACGUCGGAUGUGAAACUCUGGGGCUCAACCCCAGACCUGCAUCCGAUACGGGCAGACUAGAGUGUGGUAGGGGAGACUGGAAUUCCUGGUGUAGCGGUGGAAUGCGCAGAUAUUAGGAGGAACACCGGUGGCGAAGGCGCCACUCUGGACUGAAACUGACGCUGAGGAGCGAAAGCAUGGGUAGCAAACAGG